rnacentral:lncRNA from 1 species
AGGUUGCCUUUGCUGUAAAGAUGAAAAUGAUGGGAAAUAAAUUUUUCCAGAAGAUCUGGUCCAUAUGCUGCUGCCCGCCAUGGCUGGAGUCUCGGAUUCAACCAUUGUGUUGGCUGCCUGCUGCCCAGACUGAGUGGGGUGAACUCAGGACAGAGCCUUGCUUUGGCAUGAAUACCUCUGCCUUCUCUUGCUGACACAUUCCCUCCACCACUCAAGAAUGCACAGAGCCCUUGCCAGGUUGAGAAUGCCUGACUGUGACAGCAGCGUUUGCAAAGUAAAGAGCCUAUUUAUGAAGAUAAUGGCAGUGCCCAGACCAGGCCCACCGUGGGAGAAUCUUGGCUCGUAAUUAGCAAGAACAGUGCAUUUUAAUGAGGAUGCCUGGUAGGCAGUCGGCUCCUGCCUGGACUGCCAACAAAUCUGGGCCAGAGGGAGUGUUGGCAGUGAGGACAAGGAGCACUAUGAAGCCUGUGGAGAAACUGGAAUCUCAAAGCUUUCUGAAGAGAACAGCUAUGGCUUUUGAAGCUGUGAGCCCUGGUGGAGGUCCUACACCGUGGUCAAGGUGCUUCACAACUUUAGCAGUUCCUGUUGACAUGUAAAUCCAGCUAUCAUCUUAACAGAGAAGAAGGGAUGAUAUAUUCUGGAGCCAAAUAUGCGUGAGCACGUAUGAGGCCCAUGUUCCGGUGUCAGGAAACCAGGGUGCAGGAGGCCCGGAAGCUGAAGAGAUUUAGAAGACUCACGAAUUCACUCUUAGUAAAGGCACUAGGUUGACAGAUACCAACUGGUACCUGUGUUCCCAUGU